rnacentral:lncRNA from 1 species
AACGUUUAGCCUUUAGAAUGCAAUCUAAACAGUUGUUCAUUAAAAAAACACUAACUAACUGUAGUUCCCCGAACUACGAAUGCUCUGAUUUCCUUAUUAUACCAUAAGGAUACGUAGGCAGGAGAUUGUUGUAUCUUCGCGAGCACACUAAUAAAAAACCUCCCCUUUUCCCUUUCUGAGGUUCCCAUCCAUUUCUAUUUUCAAUAUAUUUAUAACCCAAAGAUAACAAACAAA